ACUCAAAUGAAUAGACGGGGGCCUGCACAAGCGGUGGAGUAUGUGGCUCAAUUCGAUGCAACGCGAAGAACCUUACCUGGCCUUGACAUGUACGUAGUAGAAGGGUGAAAGCCUGACGAGCUCGCAAGAGCAGCGUACACAGGUGCUGCAUGGCUGUCGUCAGCUCGUGUCGUGAGAUGUUGGGUUAAGUCCCGCAACGAGCGCAACCCUUGUGUCCUGUUGCCACCCGGCCGAAAGGCUGGAGCACUCUGGACAGACUGCCUCGCUUAAACGAGGAGGAAGGUGGGGAUGACGUCAAGUCAGUAUGGCCCUUACGGCCAGGGCUGCACACGUACUACAAUGCCCGGCACAGAGGGAAGCAAGACUGCAAAGUGGAGCAAAUCCCCCAAAACCGGGCCCAGUUCAGAUUGUCGUCUGCAACUCGACGGCAUGAAGCUGGAAUCGCUAGUAAUGGCGCAUCAGCUACGGCGCCGUGAAUACGUUCCCAGGCCUUGUACACACCGCCCGU
rnacentral:rRNA from 1 species